CUCUCUCUCUCUCUCUCUCUCUCACACACACACACACACGCACACACGCACACAUAGCCAAAUCAUCUUGCACCUUCUUUUGCUUGGGUAUUUUGUGUCCACAUCAAGAACUUGGAGGGAUCUAGGGAUUUCAAGCUUGUGGGCUUUUCUUCAUCACCAUCUCACUCAUCUCUCUUGUGUGCUAGCAUUUGAGGUUCGAAGGGCAAGGAUACGCUCUGAUGGACACGAUGAUGGAGAUAUCUUUUGUGCUUUGGCGAGUCGAUCUACACGAUAUUUUGUUGGGUCUCAAAGGCUAUCUUUUGACUACAUGUAUAUGUUUUUGACUUUGGGGAAUGUAAUGAUAAAUGUUAAACUCUCCUCUAGAAAUGCUUUAUUAUGUCUUUUAGGCAAAGAAAAA